rnacentral:rRNA from 1 species
GCCGGACGUAACACGUAGGGCGCAAGCGUUGUCCGGAAUUAUUGGGCGUAAAGAGCUCGUAGGCGGUCUGUUGCGUCCGCUGUGAAAACUCGGGGCUUAACCCCGAGCCUGCAGUGGAUACGGGCAGACUAGAGGUAGGUAGGGGAGAAUGGAAUUCCCGGUGUAGCGGUGAAAUGCGCAGAUAUCGGGAGGAACACCGGUGGCGAAGGCGGUUCUCUGGGCCUUACCUGACGCUGAGGAGCGAAAGCGUGGGGAGCGAACAGG